GGAGAGGUGACCGAGUGGUCGAAGGUGCACGCCUGGAGAGCGUGUUGUCCCGCAAGGGGCACGUGGGUUCGAAUCCCACCCUCUCCGCCA
rnacentral:tRNA from 2 species